UACGUAGGGUGCAAGCGUUAAUCGGAAUUACUGGGCGUAAAGCGUGCGCAGGCGGUGAUGUAAGACAGAUGUGAAAUCCCCGGGCUCAACCUGGGACCUGCAUUUGUGACUGCAUCGCUAGAGUACGGUAGAGGGGGAUGGAAUUCCGCGUGUAGCAGUGAAAUGCGUAGAUAUGCGGAGGAACACCGAUGGCGAAGGCAAUCCCCUGGACCUGUACUGACGCUGAGGAGCGAAAGCCAGGGGAGCAAACGGG
rnacentral:rRNA from 1 species